GGUUCCAUAGCUCAAGAGGUCAGAGCACUCGGCUCAUAACCGAGAGUGUCCAGGUUCGAAACCGGGUGGAACCACCA
rnacentral:tRNA from 1 species